rnacentral:rRNA from 1 species
AACGAACGCUGGCGGCGUGGAUAAGACAUGCAAGUCGAACGGGAUUUUCUUUGGUAGCAAUACCGAAGGAAAUUUGGUGGCGAACGGGUGCGUAACACGUGGGCAAUCUGCCUUAAAGUGGGGGAUAGCUCGGCGAAAGCCGGAUUAAUACCGCAUGUGAUUACCGGAGACAUCUUCGGAACAUCAAAGUCGGGGCAACCUGACGCUUUUUGAGGAGCCCGCGGCCUAUCAGCUAGUUGGUGAGGUAACGGCUCACCAAGGCUUUGACGGGUAGCUGGUCUGAGAGGACGACCAGUCACACUGGAACUGAGACACGGUCCAGACACCUACGGGUGGCAGCAGUCGAGAAUUUUUCUCAAUGGGGGAAACCCUGAAGGAGCGACGCCGCGUGGAGGAUGAAGGUCUUCGGGUUGUAAACUCCUGUCAUUUGGGAACAAUGCUUACGUAUUAACUGUACGUGAGUUGAUAGUACCAGAAGAGGAAGAGACGGCUAACUCUGUGCCAGCCGCCGCAGUAAUAC